GCAUCCGGUAGCCUGAAGGGCCAGUCUCACUUCCACCAUGUCCCCGCAACAGCACGGAGUGUAUUUUCAGGCAGCCGGUGAGUAGGGCUACAAGCCUCCAGCUGAGAAAGCAAAGCCAACUCACAGUUCCUUGGCUGUCCCGCGGAGCCUGCGGUGGCAAACCACCUCCUUCAGAAGGGUCUGUGGAUUCUCCUGGCUUUUCUGUCCUUGCCGGAGUCCCACUGCUCCCGAACACAUGCCCUGAGGCAGCGUGCCUGCACAACCAGCUUCCAUCUGAACGCUUCAGACAUGCGCUGCAUUCAGGCAAGAGCCCUUUGGAUCUUCCCAAUUAGAGCAAAAUCGCUAGCAUUUAACUUCUAAUUUUACAAGUAACAGUGAUUUGCAAUUAGUAACAGACAUCAAGAUGACUUGUGACCAGCAUUAUACAUGUUAUUAAUUUGCACUCAUCUAUAAUUAAUUUUACAAUGGCAUUUAGCUCAAUGCUUAUUAUAGGAAAAUCUGUCGUUGAGAACCAGGAUUAUUACCUCUACAAAUACAUUAUUUUCUCUGUAAAAGAACUCUGACUACUUUCACCAGAAGUACAUUUUUAAAGUUAGUAUUUUGUACUCGUAGAACUAGAUUAAAUAAUAUCUCGUUGAGUGAACGAUAUUUUAAGAUUACAAGCUGAAUUGCUUAUUAUGGCUUUCUAAAUUCAUACCUGUUCUGCAGCAGAAUAUUUAAAAAUUUAAGUAUUGAAAAUAGUCUAAGCAAAGAAAAUUGCUACUUGUUAACUUUGGAAGACUUGAAGACAUAAAAUUUCACCAAAUGACAGAUUUAUAAAAAUUUCUUUUUGGGGGAAUGUUCAAGUAUUGUGAAACUGUUACUGAAAACAAAACAUUAAAGCAUUAGCACGUGUUUUAAAAAGCAAUAAGACAAUCACCUCUGUAAGAAACACACAGCUAAUUAUUAUGUGUUCUAGAGAAUGCUGUCACAAUCAGUCAACUUACAGAAGCAUGAUUUUCUUUUUAUUGAAGUUGUCCCUUUGCAAAGGGUCCCUUUAGAUAUUAUUUCUGUGAAUAAAUAAUUCACUGUCUUCUUCAUACUCAAAGAUAUGCUUUUGAGAUAUAUGUAUAUAUGACUCUUUAGUAUGAGCUUAAUUUUUUUCUCCAGCAAUGGCUGUAAGAAUGCACAGACUACAAGAGACAAUAGUGAGAAAGCUGAGAAAGCUGGUGAUCCACACCCUUUCCAUUGGAAGCCUACAGGGAGCUUUCCCCUAGGGCCCCACGUGGUCAGCCUUAGAGCGACUAACACUUCCUAAUUCAAGAAACCAACCCUUGGCCCCUGCACAGCGAGAACCAAGAUGAAUUGAUUAAUGCACAGUGAAAACUAUAAUUCUCACAAAGACAAAAUCUUGUCAGCAAGUAUGUCUGUCCCCCAUAGCCUGGUGUUUAGCAAAUGAAAUAUUUGAAAUUCAGUGACCACAACAUCUGCUCCUCAGGCCAGUAUCUGGAUGCUUAUUGUCCAUGUUCAGGUACAUCCAUCUCAAAGGAUGUAGAGCCACACACCUUCUUUCAUCUUACAUCAUUUAUUUUGUUAUUUCCUAUACAGGGCAGGGACUUUUCUUGGACAGAGAAGCUGAGAAGUAUCAGAUAAAGAUGACCUGCAUGUACUGGAAAAUAAUCUGUGGUUUAUAUGUAGGCGGAUGGAAGCAAACCAGGGAACAAAAGAAGAAUUUGUAGUUCACAGCCACAUGAGAUAGUCAAGUGUUAAAAGGGAAAAAGAGCUAUCGAAGGCAGGAAGCAAAAUGCCUUCAGAGAUAAAAGGUUAUUCGUGGCUGAGUGAAAAAAAUGGACAAUGAGCAGAAAAUAAUUUAUACUACAAAGUCUUUAGACGUCAUUUACUUGGUAAGACAUUAUAGAAAUAUUUUUGGCCGUUUUGUUUGCUUUAAAAUCCACUUAACUACAAAGUGACUUCACAGUUUAAAAAUGACAUAACAUAAUCUAUAUGGUACUACACUGAUAAUAUCAUCUAAUCUUUCAUUAUGCUGUGACCAAGUCUUCUGUUAAAAGUCUAAUUUUAACCUGGCACAGUGGCUCACGCCUGUAAUCCCAGCACUUUGGGAGGCCAAGGCGGGUGGAUCACAAGG
rnacentral:lncRNA from 1 species